UGUUCCUAAGUCCUUCCUAUUUGUUUUGACCUUCAGCGGGGAUCAAUUUUUGCCAGCCUUGGUGAAUGUCCUGCAUGUCCCUGCCCUUGAUGCCAUGCCAUGCCUUUUGAUGGCUUUGAUGUGGAACAAGAUUUUUUUUUCCUAUUUUUUUUUUUUUAAAUAUCCAUGCCAUUUCCCUCUUAUCUUCCCCUCCAAGUUGUGUCUGCCUCCUUCACUUUUCCCCUGAUUUUGGAACAGCUGUGAGGUGAGUUUUGGCCUCCUUUGGUCCUUUGCACUGCACAUCAUUUCAGCCCAGACUACUUUCUUGUAGUCACUAAAUCUCCCCAUUUUCCAAUUUUUGGGGGUUUUUUUCAAUUGCAUUUCUUUUGAUCAUAUCUCCUUUCUGGAGUGUUUGUAAGCCUUUCUUUUCAGGGUCGCAAGAUUUCGUUUCCCGUCCCGAAAGGAAAUUUCCUUUCGGGACGGGAAACGAAAUCUUGCGAUUUCAAUGGGAAUCAAAGGGGCAAGCUUUGGUGCAAGUCCCAGCACUUGACAGCAUGCCAUGCCUUUUGAUGGCUUUUACAUUGGCCAAGAUUUUUUUUCUUUUUUUUUUUUUUUUCAAGUAUCCAUGCCAUGUCUCUCCUAUCUUCCCCUCCAACUUGUGUCUGCCUCCUUGACUUUUCCCCUGCUUUUGCAACAGCUGUGAAGUGAGUUUUGGCCUCUUUUUGUGGUUUGCACUGUACUACAUUUUGGCCCAGACCACUUUCUUGUAGUCUCUAAAUUUCAAAAUUUUUUUUUUUGUCUCCUUCAAUUUCAUUUCUUUGGAUGCUAUCUCUAUUCCAUAGUGUUCCUAAGUCCUUCUUAUUUGUUUUGACCUUCAGCGGGGAUCAAUUUUGGCCAGCCUUGGUGAAUGUCCUGCAUGUCCCUGCCCUUGAUGCCAUGCCAUGCCUUUUGAUGGCUUUGAUGUGGAACAAGAUUUUUUUUUCCUAUUUUUUUUUUUUAAAUAUCCAUGCCAUUUCCCUCUUAUCUUCCCCUCCAAGUUGUGUCUGCCUCCUUCACUUUUCCCCUGAUUUUGGAACAGCUGUGAGGUGAGUUUUGGCCUCCUUUGGUCCUUUGCACUGCACAUCAUUUCCACCCAGACCACUUUCUUGUAGUCACUAAAUUUCAAAAAUUUUUUUUUUCUCUCCUUCAAUUUCAUUUCUUUGGAUGCUAUCUCUAUUCCAGAAUGUUCCUAAGUCCUUCUUAUUUGUUUUGACCUUCAGCGGGGAUCAAUUUUGGCCAGCCUUGGUCUAUGUCCUGCAUGUCCCUGCCCUUGAUGCCGUGCCAUGCCUUUUGAUGGCUUUGAUGUGGAACAAGAUUUUUUUUUUCCUUUUUUUUUUUUUAAAUAUCGAUGCCAUUUCCCUCUUAUCUUCCCCUCCAAGUUGUGUCUGCUUCCUUCACUUUUCCCCUGCUUUUGGAACAGCUGUGAGGUGAGUUUUGGCCUCCUUUGGUCCUUUGCACUGCACAUCAUUUCCACCCAGACCACUUUCUUGUAGUCACUAAAUUUCAAAAAUUUUUUUUUUCUCUCCUUCAAUUUCAUUUCUUUGGAUGCUAUCUCUAUUCCAGAAUGUUCCUAAGUCCUUCUUAUUUGUUUUGACCUUCAGCGGGGAUCAAUUUUGGCCAGCCUUGGUGAAUGUCCUGCAUGUCCCUGCCCUUGAUGGCUUGCCAUGCCUUUUGAUGGCUUUGAUGUGGAACAAGAUUUUUUUUUUCCUUUUUUUUUUUUUAAGUAUCGAUGCCAUGUCCCUCUUAUCUUCCCCUCCAAGUUGUGUCUGCCUCCUUCACUUUUCCCCUGCUUUUGGAACAGCUGUGAGGUGAGUUUUGGCCUCCUUUGGUCCUUUGCACUGCACAUCAUUUCCGCCCAGACUACUUUCUUGUAGUCACUAAAUCUCCCCAUUUUCCAUUUUUUGGGGGUUUUUUUCAAUUGCAUUUCUUUUGAUCAUAUCUCCUUUCUGGAGUGUUUGUAAGCCUUUCUUUUCAGGGUCGCAAGAUUUCGUUUCCCGUCCCGAAAGGAAAUUUCCUUUCGGGACGGGAAACGAAAUCUUGCGAUUUCAAUGGGAAUUAAAGGGGCAAGCUUUGGUGCAAGUCCCAGCACUUGACAGCAUGCCAUGCCUUUUGAUGGCUUUUACAUUGGCCAAGAUUUUUUUUCUUUUUUUUUUUUUUUUUCAAGUAUCCAUGCCAUGUCUCUCCUAUCUUCCCCUCCAAGUUGUGUCUGCCUCCUUGACUUUUCCCCUGCUUUUACAACAGCUGUGAAGUGAGUUUUGGCCUCUUUUUGAGGUUUGCACUGUACUUCAUUUUGGCCCAGACCACUUUCUUGUAGUCACUAAAUUUCAAAAAUUUUUUUUUCUCUCCUUCAAUUUCAUUUCUUUGGAUGCUAUCUCUAUUCCAGAGUGUUCCUAAGUCCUUCUUAUUUGUUUUGACCUUCAGCGGGGAUCAAUUUUGGCCAGCCUUGGUGAAUGUCCUGCAUGUCCCUGCCCUUGAUGCCGUGCCAUGCCUUUUGAUGGCUUUGAUGUGGAACAAGAUUUUUUUUUCCUUUUUUUUUUUUUAAAUAUCCAUGCCAUUUCCCUCUUAUCUUCCCCUCCAAGUUGUGUCUGCCUCCUUCACUUUUCCCCUGAUUUUGGAACAGCUGUGAGGUGAGUUUUGGCCUCCUUUGGUCCUUUGCACUGCACAUCAUUUCCACCCAGACCACUUUCUUGUAGUCACUAAAUUUCAAAAAUUUUUUUUUUCUCUCCUUCAAUUUCAUUUCUUUGGAUGCUAUCUCUAUUCCAGAGUGUUCCUAAGU